CGUGCAGGUGUGAAUGUAAGUUGGAUGUGAAAGCUCCUGGCGUAACUGGGAGAGGUCGUUCAAAACUGCAUAACUAGAGUACGAUAGAGGGAGGUAGAAUUCCGAGUGUAGUGGUGAAAUGCGUAGAUAUUCGGAGGAAUACCAGAGGCGAAGGCGGCCUCCUGGAUCGUAACUGACACUGAGACGCGAAAGCUAGGGUAGCAAACAGGAUUAGAUACCCUGGUAGUC
rnacentral:rRNA from 1 species